GAUGAACGCUGGCGGCGUGCCUAAUACAUGCAAGUCGAGCGAACAGACGAGGAGCUUGCUCCUUUGACGUUAGCGGCGGACGGGUGAGUAACACGUGGAUAACCUACCUAUAAGACUGGGAUAACUUCGGGAAACCGGAGCUAAUACCGGAUAACAUGUUGAACCGCAUGGUUCAACAGUGAAAGACGGUCUUGCUGUCACUUAUAGAUGGAUCCGCGCCGCAUUAGCUAGUUGGUAAGGUAACGGCUUACCAAGGCAACGAUGCGUAGCCGACCUGAGAGGGUGAUCGGCCACACUGGAACUGAGACACGGUCCAGACUCCUACGGGAGGCAGCAGUAGGGAAUCUUCCGCAAUGGGCGAAAGCCUGACGGAGCAACUCCGCGUGAGUGAAGAAGGUCUUCGGAUCGUAAAACUCUGUUAUUAGGGAAGAACAAAUGUGUAAGUAACUAUGCACGUCUUGACGGUACCUAAUCAGAAAGCCACGGCUAACUACGUG
rnacentral:rRNA from 1 species